UACGUAGGGGGCUAGCGUUGUCCGGAAUCAUUGGGCGUAAAGGGCGCGUAGGCGGCGGGGUAAGUCGGGUGUGAAAUCUCAGGGCUCAACCCUGAAACUGCACUUGAUACUGCUCUGCUUGAGGACUGGAGAGGAGACUGGAAUUCACGGUGUAGCAGUGAAAUGCGUAGAUAUCGUGAGGAAGACCAGUGGCGAAGGCGGGUCUCUGGACAGUUCCUGACGCUGAGGCGCGAAGGCCAGGGGAGCAAACGGG
rnacentral:rRNA from 1 species